GACAGAGGUGCCGAGCGUUAGGCGGAAUCACUGGGCUUAAAGCGUGUGUAGGCGGACAAUUAAGUACCUUGUGAAAUCCCACGGCUUAACCGUGGAACUGCUGGGUAUACUGGUUGUCUUGAGCCACUUAGGGGCGAGCGGAACAAAUGGUGGAGCGGUGAAAUGCGUAGAUAUCAUUUGGAACGCCAAUGGUGAAAACAGGUAGCUGGGAGUGUGCUGACGCUGAGACACGAAAGCCAGGGGAGCGAACGGG
rnacentral:rRNA from 1 species